AGAGUUUGAUCCUGGCUCAGAACGAACGCUGGCGGCAUGCCUAACACAUGCAAGUCGAACGCUCUGCCGGUUUCGGCCGGUAGGGAGUGGCGCACGGGUGAGUAGCGCGUGGGAACCUGCCUUCCUGUGGGGGAUAACCGAGGGAAACUUCGGCUAAUACCGCAUACGCCCGGGCGACCGGGGAAAGAUUGAUCGCAGGA
rnacentral:rRNA from 1 species